rnacentral:lncRNA from 1 species
GGUGGAGAUAGAGUGGGAGCGAGAGCAUACGACGAAGAUAGAUUCGGUGGGAUGGCGACGGUGGUGUCGAACCUGGCAUUGGGGAUGGCAGAGCUGGGCUUGGUGAAAGGAGAAUGCGAGGUGGGAGAGUGAGAUUAUGGAACAGGGAGGGAGAGAGAUCUAACGUUGAACGGAGGUAGAACAACGCACAAGAGAGCAUAUGUGGUUUGAGGAUGGACAAGACCCAUGUGCAUGUGUGGGUAAAACAGGCCAACAUGAGUUUUCAUUCUUUGGUACAAUUAAUUGGCACAAUUGGUUUUAUGAGCUUGCUGUUUAUGUGCCAAUAUAUUUUCUAUUAAGACUCUUACUUCAUCGGUUUCAGAAAAUAACUAGUUUUAUAUUAGGUUUGUCAGGUCAAACAAUUGUAUUUGAUAAAAAUAAUUUAUUUUAAAUAAAAAUAUUAUAUAUUACAAUAAUUGGUUUCACGGUGAAUCUACUCAAUAUUUAAGGAUUUUUUUUUGCUAUUCACGGUCAGAAUUAAAAAGGUUUGAUUAGAACAACUUAAAAGGUUAUGACCAUCUGCGGACUGUGCAAAAUAAAAUAGUCUAGUCGUAUAAAUAGAGUAGUACAAAUGAUCGAGAUAACAGAGAGUGGACGUAUAAUCCUGUAAGGGCGUUUAGUUUCUUGGAAUGGGAUGGAGAAACCUGUUUGGUCGAAGAGAUCGAUGGUGGAUCGGAUCAGUGACGAUGGAUGAGCCGUCGCUGCCUCAGCUAAUAAUCUGAGCUGAUGUUGUAACCAGACGCUACUACUUCCGGCGCACCUAGACCAGAACACGAAGAAUCUCCCGACUACUACUACCACCAGUCCACCACACCACCACCGAGAC